UACGUAGGGUGCGAGCGUUAAUCGGAAUACUGGGCGUAAAGCGUGCGCAGGCGGUGAUGUAAGACCGAUGUGAAAUCCCCGGGCUUAACCUGGGAACUGCAUUGGUGACUGGCAGGCUUUGAGUGUGGCAGAGGGAGGUAGAAUUCCACGUGUAGCAGUGAAAUGCGUAGAGAUGUGGAGGAAUACCGAUGGCGAAGGCAGCCUCCUGGGCCAACACUGACGCUCAUGCACGAAAGCGUGGGGAGCAAACAGG
rnacentral:rRNA from 1 species